rnacentral:rRNA from 1 species
CGGACGGGUGAGUAAUGUCUGGGAAACUGCCUGAUGGAGGGGGAUAACUACUGGAAACGGUAGCUAAUACCGCAUAACGUCGCAAGACCAAAGAGGGGGACCUUAGGGCCUCUUGCCAUCGGAUGUGCCCAGAUGGGAUUAGCUAGUAGGUGGGGUAACGGCUCACCUAGACGACGAUCCCUAGCUGGUCUGAGAGGAUGACCAGCCACACUGGAACUGAGACACGGUCCAG